rnacentral:rRNA from 1 species
UACGGAGGGAGCUAGCGUUGUUCGGAAUUACUAGGCGUAAAGCGCGCGUAGGCGGCUUUGUAAGUUAGAGGUGAAAGCCCGGGGCUCAACCCCGGAACUGCCUUUAAAACUGCAUCGCUUGAAUCCGGGAGAGGUGAGUGGAAUUCCGAGUGUAGAGGUGAAAUUCGUAGAUAUUCGGAAGAACACCAGUGGCGAAGGCGGCUCACUGGACCGGCAUUGACGCUGAGGUGCGAAAGCGUGGGGAGCAAACAGG